rnacentral:ncRNA from 1 species
GUAAAAAUUUUAUAAGAAUAUGAUGUUGGUUCAGAUUAAGCGCUAAAUAAGGACAUGACACAUGCGAAUCAUACGUUUAUUAUUGAUAAGAUAAUAAAUAUGUGGUGUAAACGUGAGUAAUUUUAUUAGGAAUUAAUGAACUAUAGAAUAAGCUAAAUACUUAAUAUAUUAUUAUAUAAAAAUAAUUUAUAUAAUAAAAAGGAUAUAUAUAUAAUAUAUAUUUAUCUAUAGUCAAGCCAAUAAUGGUUUAGGUAGUAGGUUUAUUAAGAGUUAAACCUAGCCAACGAUCCAUAAUCGAUAAUGAAAGUUAGAACGAUCACGUUGACUCUGAAAUAUAGUCAAUAUCUAUAAGAUACAGCAGUGAGGAAUAUUGGACAAUGAUCGAAAGAUUGAUCCAGUUACUUAUUAGGAUGAUAUAUAAAAAUAUUUUAUUUUAUUUAGUUCCGGGGCCCGGCCACGGGAGCCGGAACCCCGAAAGGAGAAAUAUUAAAUAUUUAUAAUAAUAAUAAUAAUAAUAUAUAUAUAUAAAUUGAUUAAAAAUAAAAUCCAUAAAUAAUUAAAAUAAUGAUAUUAAUUACCAUAUAUAUUUUUAUAUGGAUAUAUAUAUUAAUAAUAAUAUUAAUUUUAUUAUUAUUAAUAAUAUAUUUUAAUAGUCCUGACUAAUAUUUGUGCCAGCAGUCGCGGUAACACAAAGAGGGCGAGCGUUAAUCAUAAUGGUUUAAAGGAUCCGUAGAAUGAAUUAUAUAUUAUAAUUUAGAGUUAAUAAAAUUGAUUAAAGAAUUAUAAUAGUAAAGAUGAAAUAAUAAUAAUAAUUAUAAGACUAAUAUAUGUGAAAAUAUUAAUUAAAUAUUAACUGACAUUGAGGGAUUAAAACUAGAGUAGCGAAACGGAUUCGAUACCCGUGUAGUUCUAGUAGUAAACUAUGAAUACAAUUAUUUAUAAUAUAUAUUAUAUAUAAAUAAUAAAUGAAAAUGAAAGUAUUCCACCUGAAGAGUACGUUAGCAAUAAUGAAACUCAAAACAAUAGACGGUUACAGACUUAAGCAGUGGAGCAUGUUAUUUAAUUCGAUAAUCCACGACUAACCUUACCAUAUUUUGAAUAUUAUAAUAAUUAUUAUAAUUAUUAUAUUACAGGCGUUACAUUGUUGUCUUUAGUUCGUGCUGCAAAGUUUUAGAUUAAGUUCAUAAACGAACAAAACUCCAUAUAUAUAAUUUUAAUUAUAUAUAAUUUUAUAUUAUUUAUUAAUAUAAAGAAAGGAAUUAAGACAAAUCAUAAUGAUCCUUAUAAUAUGGGUAAUAGACGUGCUAUAAUAAAAUGAUAAUAAAAUUAUAUAAAAUAUAUUUAAUUAUAUUUAAUUAAUAAUAUAAAACAUUUUAAUUUUUAAUAUAUUUUUUUAUUAUAUAUUAAUAUGAAUUAUAAUCUGAAAUUCGAUUAUAUGAAAAAAGAAUUGCUAGUAAUACGUAAAUUAGUAUGUUACGGUGAAUAUUCUAACUGUUUCGCACUAAUCACUCAUCACGCGUUGAAACAUAUUAUUAUCUUAUUAUUUAUAUAAUAUUUUUUAAUAAAUAUUAAUAAUUAUUAAUUUAUAUUUAUUUAUAUCAGAAAUAAUAUGAAUUAAUGCGAAGUUGAAAUACAGUUACCGUAGGGGAACCUGCGGUGGGCUUAUAAAUAUCUUAAAUAUUCUUACA